GCACCACCACUACUCUCCUUCCUACAACCAUGCGUGCUCGUAUUGGGCGUGGGAAGUACACUGGCUAAGGCACCCGCAUCGGCGCAUCAUCACUUGACCAUUUUUUUUUGGAGAGGGGGGUGAUACCCCUGCUUGUCGCUCCCCCCCCCACUUGCCCUGCUGUGUCCAUUUGCGUCGACGCUUAAUACGUUUCCUUACAUCCUAGGGGAAACCCGUCCCUGGCUCUCUAUGCUUUCCGCUUCUGUCCCUCUUGAUACUUUUUUUUGUGUUAGUUCAGUUCUCUUGCCUCCCGCUUGUGCUCCAGCUAAGGAGACAUCCUUCGUACACUGACGAAGGAGAUUAUGUUUUUUUUUUGCGUCCAGGGAGGUGCCGGGCAUGAUUGGAAAGCAACCUUAGCUGGUGGCCCAUACAGCGCAUACACGUACAUGGAGUCGAAGUGAUGGUUGCUCCGCUUCGGUCGCACGCCUCCCCGACCCCCCUCGACAAAAACAUCUCAUGUACACCGAAUUUCUUGCAGAAAAGGAUGAUUAGCUCGAUUCGACGCACAAGACGGCGAAAGGGGUGAGGGGAAAUAAACUCUCACCGCGGCAGCCAGGAUGCCGUGCAGGAGAUGGAUAAGAUGGGCGAGUACGCCCGCUUCGGCAACCAUUUGGCGCCUGCUCGGUGCUAGGGUUCAUCGCACUACGGGUCGUUGUCAUUUCGGCUCCGAUCGGCAUGCUUGAGAUCAGCAGUGCCCGAAAGACGAAGCUGUACGAUGUCACGGGUAGCACGCAGAAUCUGCGUGUGAGCGUGUGUGCUUUUAUUGCCUGAGGCACGAGGAUCGAGGAUCGGGUGCUACUCGGCCGGCUACUACAACCGCGACUUCACGCACGCCGUCUGCUAACGCUUGCUCUUAAGCUGCAAGGUUGCGGAGUCCUUCUGCAUAAUCACGAUUGCUUUCAUGGCCCAUGGUCUGAUCAUGUAUAUCGUCGCUAUUAUUGAGGCGUGCACGGGCGCAACGUGCCUCAUCGCCACAUUCGCGAUGGUGCUAGGCAGCAUUCCAUGAGGCGCGGUGGCCGGCACGUGCCAUCGGAAGCCGUGCUGCCAGACGAUCAACUGGAACACCAACAAAAGAGAGUCACCAUUCGCUCUGGCAACCACACGCGUCUGACUUUGGGCGUGCAUCCGUUCAAGAUCGCGGGCGAGCUUGUCACCAGCUGCAGCCUCCUGGACACUGUCUGGGCCAUCCAGGUGUGUGCCAUCGCCUGUGCCUUUUCGUCGCUGUAAGCACGUCCGAACAGGGAAUGAGGGGCACAUGAGGACGAAGGAGGAAAAGGGAGUUAGGGAGCGGCCAACAGAGCGAAUGCACCGAUCCCGCGAGGGAGAAGGGGGCGCGGCGUCUUCCAGGCAUUUUCACUCUCCUCGCCCCCCUUUGCCGAGACUGCCUAACAGGCAAAUUUGCCAUGGCGGUGUGUCGCCUGUCUUCCCGCUGCACCGCCGCGCUGUGGUAUCCCUCUCUCUAUUUCGUGGGCGUGUGUGUGUUUCCCGGGUGCUUCUCUGAUGAACGUGAGAGAGGCAGGCAAGAGCGAACAGCGCCAAAAAAAUCGAGACGCGGGGGGGGGCUUACAAACUGUUUCGAAUGCGCAGGCGCUGUGGUGCUGCUAAGGGCGAUGCAGCUGUGACCCGCACGUGAGGAUCUGCACACCUGCAUAGAGAGCCGCCCAUGAGACCAUGGUUGCGUGGUGCUUGUGUGCAUUCUGUUUGUUGUGUAUCCGGUGCUCCUCUUUUCCUCUUUUUUUCUUCCUCCUCUGAAUGGUCAACAUUUUCGGAAG
rnacentral:misc_RNA from 1 species